rnacentral:rRNA from 1 species
GAUGAACGCUGGCGGCGUGCCUAAUACAUGCAAGUCGAGCGAACAGACGAGGAGCUUGCUCCUCUGACGUUAGCGGCGGACGGGUGAGUAACACGUGGAUAACCUACCUAUAAGACUGGGAUAACUUCGGGAAACCGGAGCUAAUACCGGAUAAUAUAUUGAACCGCAUGGUUCAAUAGUGAAAGACGGUUUUGCUGUCACUUAUAGAUGGAUCCGCGCCGCAUUAGCUAGUUGGUAAGGUAACGGCUUACCAAGGCAACGAUGCAUAGCCGACCUGAGAGGGUGAGCGGCCACACUGGAACUGAGACCGGGCCCAGACCCCUACGGGAGGCAGCAGUAGGGAAUCUUCCGCAAUGGGCGAAAGCCUGACGGAGCAACGCCGCGUGAGUGAUAAAGGUCUUCGGAUCUAAAAACUCUGUUAUUAGGGAAAAACAUAUGUGUAAGUAACUGUGCACUUCUUGACGUUACCUAAUCAGAAAGCCACGGCUAACUACGUG